rnacentral:tRNA from 1 species
GGGCCCAUGGCAUAGCUGGUUAUCGCAUCUGUCUAACACACAGAAGGUCCUCAGUUAGAACCUGGGUCAACUCA